rnacentral:ncRNA from 1 species
UGGAGCGAAGCCUGGAGUCGUGCAGUAACCGAUCGACACGCCGAUGCGGGGAAGUCCUGUGUGAUUCAGGCGCGGUCCCGCCACUGUGUACCGAGUGCCCGUGGGCACUCGGAAGCCAGAUCACCGCGCGGCGCGUCAUGGCCCACC